UCAUGAUUUACAUUUGAGUGAGUGGCGAACUGGUGAGUAACACGUGGGAAACCUGCCCAGAAGCGGGGGAUAACACCUGGAAACAGAUGCUAAUACCGCAUAACAACUUGGACCGCAUGGUCCGAGCUUGAAAGAUGGCUUCGGCUAUCACUUUUGGAUGGUCCCGCGGCGUAUUAGCUAGAUGGUGGGGUAACGGCUCACCAUGGCAAUGAUACGUAGCCGACCUGAGAGGGUAAUCGGCCACAUUGGGACUGAGACACGGCCCAAACUCCUACGGGAGGCAGCAGUAGGGAAUCUUCCACAAUGGACGAAAGUCUGAUGGAGCAACGCCGCGUGAGUGAAGAAGGGUUUCGGCUCGUAAAACUCUGUUGUUAAAGAAGAACAUAUCUGAGAGUAACUGUUCAGGUAUUGACGGUAUUUAACCAAAAAGCCACGGCUAACUACGUGCCAGCAGCCGCGGUAAUACGUAGGUGGCAAGCGUUGUCCGGAUUUAUUGGGCGUAAAGCGAGCGCAGGCGGUUUUUUAAGUCUGAUGUGAAAGCCUUCGGCUCAACCGAAGAAGUGCAUCGGAAACUGGGA
rnacentral:rRNA from 2 species